rnacentral:rRNA from 1 species
AUUGAACGCUGGCGGCAUGCCUUACACAUGCAAGUCGAACGGCAGCACGGGUGCUUGCACCUGGUGGCGAGUGGCGAACGGGUGAGUAAUACAUCGGAACAUGUCCUGUAGUGGGGGAUAGCCCGGCGAAAGCCGGAUUAAUACCGCAUACGAUCUACGGAUGAAAGCGGGGGACCUUCGGGCCUCGCGCUAUAGGGUUGGCCGAUAGCUGAUUAGCUAGUUGGUGGGGUAAAGGCCUACCAAGGCGACGAUCAGUAGCUGGUCUGAGAGGACGACCAGCCACUCUGAGAGUGAGACGGGCCAGAGUCCUCUGGGAGGGACAGGAGUGGAAAUUUGUACACUAUGGGCGAACGUCUUACACAAAUAUGCCGUGUGUGAAGAAGGCCUUCGGGUUGUAAAGCACUUUUGUCCGGAAAGAAAUCCUUGGCUCUAAUACAGUCGGGGGAUGACGGUACCGGAAGAAUAAGCACCGGCUAACUACGUG